UGUGGGCAUGUGAGCCUGUGCUCUUAGGUGUGUCAGCAGAACAGGGAGAAUAGUUCUCUCUGGUCAGGAUUGGAUGUGGAGAGUUGUGUCAGAGGGUUAAUCCUGGUGUACUGAUGGAAAACCAGAAAUAUCCUGUCCCUAGCUGUUUCGCAGUUCCUAAGCCCUUUGGACUCUUGGUGGGUUCCCCUUCGGAUAGUUGUUGGAGCAAAAGUGAUGGUCUCUCCUGUGAACUUAGGAGUAACAGCACUCCUGGAAGAUUAGCUCUCUCCAGGCAGGAUUUAUGUACAGAAUGCUGUGCCACAGGAUGAACUCUGUAGUACAGAUGGAGACCAGAAGGGUCCUAUCCACAGUAGCUCAUGGUUCUUGUGCACUGUUGUCUUCUAGUGGGUCCCCCUUUGGCCAUAUUGGAGCAAAAUUGGUGGUCUCACCUCUGAAAUUAGGAGUGACAGUGCUCCUGGGAGUCCAGCUUUCUCUGAACAGGAUUUGGGAAAAUUCCCCAAGUUCUUGCUGGAUUUAGCCAUGCAUCUUGGAUUGCAAAAUAUUAAAUGUUGUGAAAUUAAAUGAGGAAAGAAAGAAAAAAAAGAAAAAUACCAACCAACCUUUUUUAUUGCCUAGCCUGCAUACUUAGGAUUGUAAUGAACUACAUGACUGUGUCAUAUAGACAUGGAUUUUUUUGUUGCCUUCUGACAUAAUGCCUAUGGUGCUUGGCUCUCUGCAUGUGCCCUGCCUUCCUCCUUGGAUAGGAACCAUGGUGUUGAUGACACAUCCUUGUUUCUCUAUGGUGCUUUGUCCCUUUCAGAGCCUUUCACAGGCUGCAUCUUGUUUGCCACUCAUGGAAACCCAAGGAAGGACAAGAAAGAGCAGAGAAUGCCACUUACCAAUCCCCACCUCUCCUCAUCACUUAGUACAAUAUUGAUUAUGGGCUUUAGAGAGCAUCUCAUGUAGACCAGGCUGCCCUUAAAUUUUAUAUGUAGUUAAGGAUAUCACUUUUGACUUCCUGAUUCUCCUGCUUUCAUCGUCCAAGAGCUGUGGUUAUAGGCAUAUGACACUAUACCAGCAAAACGAUUUGCUUAAAUUCAGAUGAAGUGGAGAGCUCUCAGCUCCUCCUGCACCAAACCUGCCUGGAUGCUGCCAUGUCCUCACCUUGAUGAUAAUGGAC
rnacentral:sRNA from 1 species